UGGGGUUUUUGGGGACACUGGGGACAUUUGGGGACAUUUGGGGUCAUUUAUUUGGGGCCAUUUGGGACCAUUUGGGUGGGUUUGGGGGACAUUUAGGGUGGUUUUGGGGCCAUUUUGGGUGUUUGGGGGGCCAUUUUGGGUGCUUUUGGGGCCAUUUUGGGUGCUUUUGGGGGAUAUUUUGGGAUUUUGGGUUUUUGGGACCAUUUUGGGGCCAUUUUGGGGCCAUUUGGGACCAUUUGGGUGGGUUUGGGGGACAUUUAGGGUGGUUUUGGGGCCAUUUUGGGUGUUUGGGGGGCCAUUUUGGGUGCUUUUGGGGCCAUUUUGGGUGCUUUUGGGGGAUAUUUUGGGAUUUNNNNNNNNNNGACACUGGGGACAUUUGGGGCCAUUUGGGGCCAUUUUGGUGGUUUUGGGGGGACAUUUGGUGGGUUUGGGGGCCAUUUUGGGUGCUUUUGGGGUUAUAUUUUGGGAUUUGGGGUUUUUGGGACCAUUUUGGGGUCAUUUUGGGGCCAUUUGGGACCAUUUGGGUGGGUUUGGGGGACAUUUAGGGUGGUUUGGGGGCCAUUUUGGGUGGUUUUGGGGCCAUUUUGGGUGGUUUUAGGGCCAUUUUGGGUGCUUUUGGGCUUAUAUUUUGGGAUUUUGGGUUUUUGGGACCAUUUUGGGGCAAUUUUGGGGCAAUUUGGGACCAUCCUUGCCCUCCUUCCCCCGCAGGUCCCCCCAGAAGAAGACGCGGCCACCCCGCGGCCCCCGGUGACGUCCCCGCGUCCCCCCCGGGCCACCAAACGUCCCCAAAUUUCCCCAAAUCCCCCCUUGGGGGCCCCAAAACCACCCAAAAAGCCCCGGCUGGCCCCGGGGGGCCGCUGUCCCCAAACGUCCCCAAAUUCGUGUCCCCAAAUGUCCCAAACGACCCCAAAUUCGUGUCCCCAAACGUCCCCAAAUUCGUGUCCCCAAAUGUCCCCAAAUUCGUGUCCCCAAACGUCCCAAAAGUCCCGAACCUCAAUGUCCCCAAAUUCGUGUCCCCAAAUGUCCCAAACGACCCCAAAUUCGUGUCCCCAAACGUCCCCAAAUUCGUGUCCCCAAAUGUCCCCAAAUUCGUGUCCCCAAAUGUCCCAAACGACCCCAAAUUCAUGUCCCCAAACCUCGAGGACCUCCGAUUUGUCCCCGUGUCCCCAAAUGUCCCCAAAUUUGUGUCCCCAAACCUCCUCGAGGUCCUCAAACCCCUCCCCAUGUCCCCAAAUGUCCCAAAUGUCCCCAAAUUUGUGUCCCCAAACCUCCUGGAGGUCCUCCAAGCCAUGUUCUCAACGGUUGAGGGCCUCCAACCCAACCUCGUGUCCCCAAAUGUCCCAAACGACCCCAAAUUUGUGUCCUUUGACCUCCUCGACCUCCUCCAACUCUUCUCCUCCAACCUCCUCGAGGUCCUCCAGGCCAUGUUCUCAACGGUUGAGGGCCUCCACCCUGGCCCCGUGUCCCCAAAUGUCCCCAAAUUCGUGUCCCCAAACCUCCUUGAGGUCCUCCAAGCCAUGUCCUCCAACCUCGAGGUCCUCCAACCCAUCCCAACCUCCUCCAACCUCCUCAACCUCCUCCAACUCUUCUCCUCCAACCUCUUCGAGGUUCUCCAAGCCAUGUUCUCAAAGGUUGAGGUCCUCCAACCCAUGCUCAUGUCCUUCAACCUCCUCAACCUCCUCCACCCCACAUCCUCCAACGUCCUCCAGGUCCUCCAACCCAUCCCCACCUCCUCCAUCCUCCAAGAACUCUUCCAACCCAUGUCCUCAAAGCUCCUUGAUGUCCUCCAAGCCAUGUCCUCAAAGGUUGAGGUCCUCCAACCCAUCCCCAUGUCCUUCAACCUCCUCGACCUCCUCCAACCCAUGUCCUCCAACCUCCUUGAGGUCCUUCAAGCCAUGUCCUCAAACCUUGAGGUCCUCCACCCCAUCCCAACCUUCUCCAACCUCCUCCAACCCAUGUCCUCAACACCCUUUGAGGUCCUCCAACCCAUCCCCAUGUCCUCCAACCUCUUCAACCUCCUCCACCUCUUGUCCUCCAACCUCUUCGAGGUCCUCCACCCCAUCCCAACCUCCUCCAACGUCCUUGACCUUCUCCAACCCACGUCCUCCAACCUCCUCGAGGUCCUCCAACCCAUGUCCUCAAACCCCGUUGAGGUCCUCCAACCCAUCCCAACCUCCUCCAACCUCCUACACCUCCUCCACCCCAUAUCUUCCACCCUCCUUGAGGUCCUCCAACCCAUCUCCACCUCCUCCAACCUCCUCCAACUCUUCUCCUCCAACCUCUUCGAGGUCCUCCAAGCCAUGUUCUCAAACGUUGAUGUCCUCCAACCCAUCUCUACCUCCUCCAACCUCCUCAACCUCCUCCAACUCUUGUCCUUCACCCUCCUUGAGGUCCUCCACCCCACAUCCUCCAACCUUCUCGAGGUCUUCCAAGCCAUGUUCUCAACGCUUGAGGUCCUCCAACCCAUCCCGACCUCCUCCAACCUCCUUGACCUCCACCCCAUGUCCUCAACCCUCCUUGAGGUCCUCCAACUCUUCUCCUCCAACCUCUUUGAGGUCCUCCAACUCAUCCUCAUGUCCUCCAACCUCCUCGAUCUCCUCCACCUCUUCUCCUCCAACCUCCUUGAGGUCCUCCAACCCAUCCCCACCUCCUCCAACCUCCUCCAACUCUUCUCCUCCAACCUCUUCGAGGUCCUCCAAGCCAUGUUCUAAAAGGUUGAGGUCCUCCACCCCAUCCCAACCUUCUCCAACCUCCUCCACCCCACAUCCUCCACCCCCGUUGAGGUCCUCCAACCCAUCCCAACCUCCUCAACCCUCCUCAACCUCUAACCUCUUCCACCUCUUCUCCUCCAACCUCUUCGAGGUCCUCCACCCCAUCUCUACCUCCUCCAACCUCCUCCAACCCAUGUCUUAGAACCUCCUCGAGGUCCUCCAAGCCAUGUUCUCAAAGGUUGAGGUCCUCCAACCCAUCCCAACCUCCUCCAACCUCCUCAACCUCCUCCACCCC
rnacentral:lncRNA from 1 species